UCUCCGUAGGUGAACCUGCGGAGGGAUCAUUAAUGAGUUGUCAUGGGGUUCGAUGCUGGCAGCCAAUUUUUGGAUGCAUGUGCUUGCCCUAACAAUCAUCUUCCAAACACCUGUGCACAUUUUUGAGGGAGUCUUGAGUUGGUUGCCGCUCUUGGGUGAUUUUCUCACAUUCCCUUAAAUCAUUAUACGCUAUUAACAAUGUUGAACGUGCUCUGUGCCGCAAGGCUAUUAAUAUAAUACAACUUUUAACAACGGAUCUCUUGGCUCUC
rnacentral:misc_RNA from 1 species